UCCUUCAGUGUUGAAACAAUCUCUGCUGAACCAGGCUCCAAACUACGUUCACUGGAGUUUGUUUCAAUAUUGCAAGAA
rfam:Equus caballus chromosome 4, whole genome shotgun sequence.